GAACUUAAGCAGGAAAAGAAGAAAGCUGAAAACACACUGAGGAUUAUGGGAGAGGGGCAAGUGCAUGAAGCUUCUCAAUGACAUACAGACACUCUAAAAGCUCAAGAGAUCAAUUAUUCAACUUCAAGAACUGAAAUUUGAACACAGAUUUUGAGCUUCCAAAUCAGCUGCUAAUAUGGGAAAGAUUGAAAUCAGCAAGUUUCUGGCUGUAAGCUAAAAGAGGCUCUUGAAUCAUAUUUCCGCCUGCUUAGCAAAUUUCUCUUGCGACAAUUGGAUGUUAUUUGGGGUUCCAUACUAGCAGGAAGAAGUACAAGCAAAGCUAAGUCAUUUUGAGAAUAAAUAUUAUCUCUCUAUAUAUUUGUAAAUGUUAUUUUCUUUUUUUUUGAGGUUUAUGAUUGAUCCUUGGCAUGUGUCCCCUUGUGUAUUGCUCUACUAAAAAUAGCCUAAAAAAGAAUUUUCCCCUCGAUGUGGAGCUUCUCUUUAGUUACAAUUCUACUUUCUCCUUCACUUGAGUAUCAGUCUUCAGAGAACUACCAUAACAAAGGAGUGGAUACAGAUAUACGCAAAAAAGUCUAUGAGAAAAUUAGUACAUUAAAUUUGUGAAAGCUCAUUUAAAGUAAUUUUCUACUAACAAUUUUAAUCAAAUGUAUUAAUCAUAUUUCUAUGCUUAGUGAUGUUAAAUAAAAAUUUAAAAGGUGGCAAUCAAUAAACAGAGAUAAAAGCUUCUCAAGAAUAAAUGAAAGGAAGUAAUAAAAAGACUCACUAAGCUGAAUUGCCUCCUAUCAACAGCAGCUGAUAAAAUAUUAAAAGAUUUGCCUUGUGUAAUGUCUCUGGAGAGCUGUCUUACUGAUGUACGAGGCCAUGAUUGACAACUUUGAGACUUUGCUGGAAGCGACAAAAGUAUAUCUAUAAUAUUAUGCUGAAUUGCAUAGGUCUUUCUUCUUAAAUGAGGCUAGAAAUAACAUACCACCAAGUGUUUGGCUUUUAGGAAAUUGAGCAUUUUCUUUAGUUCUAGCUGCAGUUUAAUUUCCUCAGAAUUAGACAUUAUGCGGUAUCUGGAACGUUAAAAAAAAAAAAAA
rnacentral:lncRNA from 1 species